GAACUGCGAUAAGUAAUGUGAAUUGCAGAAUUCAGUGAAUCAUCGAGUCUUUGUACGCACAUUGCGCCCCCUGGCAUUCCGGGGGGCAUGCCUGUCCGAGCGUCAUUGCUGCCCUUCAAGCCCGGCUUGUGUGUUGGGUCGUCGUCCCCUCCGGGGGACGGGCCCGAAAGGCAGCGGCGGCACCGCGUCCGGUCCUCGAGCGUAUGGGGCUUUGUCACCCGCUCGAUAAGGACCGGCCGGGCGCCAGCCGGCGUCUCCAACCUUUUUUUCUCAGGUUGACCUCGGAUCAGGUAGGGAUACCCGCUGAACUUAAGC
rnacentral:misc_RNA from 1 species